CUCAGACUUUUUCGAUAACUCAUCAUGAAGAGCGUCAAAUUCAAAUAUAUGCAUCAACACAAUUUCCUAGGUAUGGUGAAGUUAUGAGCAAGCUGUUGUAAAGUUUAUAUGACAGUUACAUGUGCAAAAAUACAGUAUCCAUUGAAAUGUUUGAAGACUGACCCAUUAUGGUGUAUGUGAUGAAAUGAGAUAAUAUUUGAUAUUACUGAAACAUGAAAUACAUGUUAUUCCUUUAUUCUGACUUAUGUACCAAGAAAAACACUUUGAAGCUAAGAAGAUAUUGCUUCCAGAUUAUAUCAAUGGCUCAUUAGGAAAAAAACUUCAACUAAAGUGGUUGAAAAUUGGAAAUUUUGAAGAUUUAAAAAAGUACCUGACAUACAUGGUGAUUUAUUCAUUCAAUUAGGUUUCUACUAUCAAUAAUUAUUUUUCUAACACAAGUAUCAAUUAUUGUCAUAUAGGGGAGGUAACUCCACUUUAACGAAAUAGUUUUAUUUGAUACACACAUACAUUAUACAUAAGAUGAAUUAUAAACAUUUUUUUGUAUAAAUGAUGGGAGAUAUUUAUAAUUUUUCUUUGAGUUAACUAGUUUGAAUGAA